CUUUUUGUAUAUCUCCGUUGUCAGAUUUUAUUUUAAAUUUAAAUAAUUUUCAUGAUAAUCACUUUUAAUACUUCAGGUCAAGGUGCAGAAUAAAUAAGAUAUUAUGUAUUACGGUCAAAAUUAUUGUAUUGGAUUUAUAUCUGUAAAAUUUUAAUGAAAUUGAAUUUAUAAGUAAAAAAAAAUAGAAUAUUUAUUUGAAAAUUUAUUAAAUAUGU
rnacentral:rRNA from 1 species